AUUGCUUCUCGGCCUUUUGGCUAAGAUCAAAGUGUAGUAUCUGUUCUUAUCAGCUUAAUGUCUGAUACGUCUCCUACAGGCACCCUGAGCUUCAGAGAUAACUUGACACUAACCUCUU
rnacentral:snRNA from 1 species